AUCGUUCGGUUGCCCCUCUCCGCCCCACGCCCCGCGCGGGUGUGGGGUGGACAUCAGGCCGGCUCCGUGUUUCCUGGCAUGCCUCGCCCAGCUGCUUGGCUGCCUUGGCGCACGGUGCUUGUUGCCCAUUCUCUCGGAUGCGGAACGUCAUGYGCGGGUGGGGGGGCCUUGGCCCUCGCUAGCCCGAGCUAUAUGCAUUUUGUCCCUUGACACGAACGACGGUCGCCCCCCGUCUUGACCCCGCGGYCUUCGGGCCGUUGGGGCUCAUGCGGGCGUCGA
rnacentral:misc_RNA from 1 species